rnacentral:rRNA from 1 species
GCAGCGAAAUGCGAUAAGUAAUGUGAAUUGCAGAAUUCCGCGAAUCAUCGAAUCUUUGAACGCACAUUGCGCCUUUUGGUAUUCCGAAAGGCAUGCCUGUUCGAGCGUCAUUA